rnacentral:tRNA from 1 species
GGCUCCGUAGCUCAGGGGAUAGAGCACUGCUCUCCUAAAGCGGGUGCCGCAGGUUCGAAUCCUGCCGGGGCCG